rnacentral:lncRNA from 1 species
CUUUUCAUUCCCGUUGUUAUGGAGGGCCACAUCUGCCAGAGCCUGGAGUCUGCGAAGGCCGGGACCCGGUUCCCCGGCCCACAGUGGGGGUGUGCAAACCCGAGAGAACUGGUCGCUGAAACCUCUACAACUUAGUUGACCGUAACUGCCAGAGCCCUGCCCUGAAUUCCUGUCCUUACUCCCUCUUUAAGAUUGCGUACCCACUGCAGAGUGCUGAAGACGGGGUAGCCACGAGGUUGCAAAUUCGUGAAGAAUCAGCAUCAUGUUUGGCAGCUGAGUAUUGGAGCCAGGAGCCUGCCAUGAGGUUAUAUUCCCAGAGGAUGUCAGUCCCAAGGACCAGUAGCUGCCAUCAGUUUGGAUUCUGAAAACUAACUGGCAUCAACACUGGGUGUAGAAACAUGCUUGCCUUAUGUAUCAGAGGACAUGCUCAGCAGAUCCAAGAGAUAUAUUUGGCAACUUUUUCUAGAAAAGGCACAUUGGGUAUCAUUCAUUACAUUCUUGAGUUUUUUUGGGUUUUUUUUUUUUUUUUUGAGACAGUCUUGCUGUAUUGCCCAGGCUGGAGUGUGGUGGCACAAUCACAGCUCAUUGCAUCCUCAAUCACCCAGGCCUAAGCAAUCCUCCCACCUUGUAGCUGGGACUACAGCUCACAGCACACCUGGCUAAAAUUUUUUUUUUGUUGAGACGGAUUCUCUAUGUUGCCCAGGCUGGUCUCAGGCUCCUGGGCUCAGAUGGUCCUCCUGCCUCAGCUUCCAAAGGCACAGGCCAAGUUGUAGCUUUGUCCCUUGCCAUCAUGCCCAACAAGAGGUUCUAUACCUUUUAAUGAAUUGACUUUCAUAAAUUGGUUAUGUUGGUGGGCAAAGUUCUUUAAGCUGGAAAUUGUAAAUUCCUCCUGAAAUGUUUUUUCAUGCAGUUACCAUGAACUAAUACUACAAUAAAGGAUGGUCUUGGGUGUCAAUUCUU